ACCAUCCUUUUUCUGGGUUGUGCUUCUAUCCAAUGAGCGUGCAGUGAGAGCAGUAACUGCCAACACCUACACAGCAACCCCCGUCAACUGGAGCUUUGCUUUGCUUUGGCACAAUUUUUGGAAAA
ensembl:snRNA